ACACAAUGUAGCUUACAAGUCCUUCAGAUUCUUGGCAAGCAAAUCCAGUGCCUCAGACAGCCCCAGCACUCCUGACCUGGACCUUUUAAAGACAGAAUGUAUAAAGAAAGCAACUGACAGCAUUCUAACUCAAAAUUAAAGCCUUUGUUCUUGGGAAUGUGCUAAAAUGGAUUCACCCAGUAUGUUGCAGAAUGAGAAAACAGGAGAGCACCUGGGCAAGAGAUCCCCCUGACUUGGUCUUAUGCAGCUCCAUGCAGCACUUUUGGGAAGGUGGCAGCAAGGGAAUGACUGUGUCACAUGGCUGGGAAUGCAGACCUGUGCUAAGAAUAAACUACUCUAAAAUGAAAACAAUUACAUAGAGAUGUAACCUUUGUGAAAGUCAUAAUGCUAGAUUUUUUCAUGUUAUUUUCAAAGAGAUAACUAACUAAGGAAGAUAAAUAUGUGUUUUAAACUGUGUAAUUUUCUGUACAUUUGGUGGAGAGCACUCACUGUCUGAGACAGGAAACAUUAAAAAUAUGUCUUUACUGUCUAGCUAUAAACCCAGUAGUCUAAUGAUCAUUAGACUAGAAUUGCUUAAUUCUAAUUGUUAAUUUGAUGUAUAUCUGAUUUCUCCCUCCUUUGUUAUUGAUAAAUCUUCACCAUCUUCUGUCCCCAAACCACAAACACAAGUUUCUAGGAAACUUAGCUUUUCACAGACCUAAAACCCAUUAGUACAAGUCCUGUAAUAGGAAAGAAAAAAAACCAAACAAACAAAAAAUUCAGCACUGGUGAAAUAUGUGGCUAUAAAUACUGAAAUAUGUAGCUAUAAAUAUUGUUACACCAUGUCAAAUAGGAACAUUGCUUGGUGUCUGCAUGUUAAUCUCAAGAUUAAUUUUGUUAUACAGUACAAACCCACUGCAAUUCAAAGACUCUUCUUUACCUCUUAAAGCUCUGUUCCUAAAAUAUACAUGUGCUAAUGAAAAGUAGAUCAUGGUUUCCUUUCCAUGGUAGAUGAUUGAGAGGCAUGCACACUUUAAUCUUGUUCAAAAAAGAUAAUCAACUAAAUUUCCCUGAAGUGG